UACAGAGGUCUCGACGCGUUGUUUCGGAUUCAUUGGGCGUAAAGGGUGCGUAGGUGGCGCUGUAAGUCGGGUGUGAAAUCCUGGGGCUUAACCCCGGAACUGCAUUCGAUACUGCAGUGCUUGAGGACUGGAGAGGAGACUGGAAUUCAUGGUGUAGCAGUGAAAUGCGUAGAGAUCAUGAGGAAGACCAGUGGCGAAGGCGGCCAUCUGGAUCAACACUGACGCUGAGGCACGAAGCGUGGGAGCAAACAGG
rnacentral:rRNA from 1 species